rnacentral:rRNA from 1 species
ACACGACCGUACCGCAAACCGACACUGGUGCGCGAGAUGAGUAUUCUAAGGCGCUUGAGAGAACUCAGGAGAAGGAACUCGGCAAAUUGACACCGUAACUUCGGAAGAAGGUGUGCCUUUAGUAGGUGAACCAUUUACUUGGGGAGCCCAAUGAGGCUGCAGAAAAUCGGUGGCUGCAACUGUUUAUUAAAAACACAGCACUCUGCUAAGACGAAAGUCGACGUAUAGGGUGUGACGCCUGCCCGGUGCUGGAAGAUUAAAUGAUGGGGUGCAAGCUCUUGAUUGAAGUCCCAGUAAACGGCGGCCGUAACGAUAACGGUCCUAAGGUAGCGAAAUUCCUUGUCGGGUAAGUUCCGACCUGCACGAAUGGCGUAAUGAUGGCCACACUGUCUCCUCCUGAGACUCAGCGAAGUUGAAAUGUUUGUGAUGAUGCAAUCUCCCCGCGGAAAGACGGAAAGACCCCAUGAACCUUUACUGUAGCUUUGUAUUGGACUUUGAACAGAUCUGUGUAGGAUAGGUGGGAGGCUUUGAAGUGUGGUCGCUAGAUCGCAUGGAGCCAACGUUGAAAUACCACCCUGGUGUGUUUGAGGUUCUAACCUAGGUCCAUUAUCUGGAUCGGGGACAGUGCAUGGUAGGCAGUUUGACUGGGGCGGUCUCCUCCCAAAGUGUAACGGAGGAGUUCGAAGGUACGCUAGGUACGGUCGGACAUCGUGCUAAUAGUGCAAUGGCAUAAGCGUGCUUAACUGCGAGACUGACAAGUCGAGCAGAUGCGAAAGCAGGACAUAGUGAUCCGGUGGUUCUGUAUGGAAGGGCCAUCGCUCAACGGAUAAAAGGUACUCUGGGGAUAACAGGCUGAUACCGCCCAAGAGUUCAUAUCGACGGCGGUGUUUGGCACCUCGAUGUCGGCUCAUCUCAUCCUGGGGCUGUAGCCGGUCCCAAGGGUAUGGCUGUUCGCCAUUUAAAGAGGUACGUGAGCUGGGUUUAAAACGUCGUGAGACAGUUUGGUCCCUAUCUUCCGUGGGCGCUGCAGAUUUGAGGAAGCCUGCUCCUAGUACGAGAGGACCGGAGUGGACGAACCUCUGGUGUAUCGGUUGUCACGCCAGUGGCAUUGCCGAGUAGCUAAGUUCGGAAGAGAUAACCGCUGAAAGCAUCUAAGCGGGAAACUCGUUUCAAGAUUAGAUCUGCCGGGGCCUUGAGCCCCCUAAAGAGUCGUUCAAGACCAGGACGUUGAUAGGUCAGGUGUGGAAGUGA